ACGCUCGACACCUACGGAAGGCAGCAGUGAGGAAUAUUGGUCAAUGGGCGCUAGCCUGAACCAGCCAAGUAGCGUGAAGGAUGAAGGCUCUAUGGGUCGUAAACUUCUUUUAUAUAAGAAUAAAGUGCAGUAUGUAUACUGUUUUGUAUGUAUUAUAUGAAUAAGGAUCGGCUAACUCCGUGCCAGCAGCCGGGUAAUCUGAGCGGGCUGGCAAGGC
rnacentral:rRNA from 1 species